rnacentral:rRNA from 1 species
UACGUAGGGUGCGAGCGUUGUCCGGAAUCAUUGGGCGUAAAGAGCGUGUAGGCGGCCAGACAGGUCCGUUGUGAAAACUCGAGGCUCAACCUCGAGACGCCGAUGGAAACCGUCUGGCUAGAGUCCGGAAGAGGCGAGUGGAAUUCCUGGUGUAGCGGUGAAAUGCGCAGAUAUCAGGAGGAACACCAAUGGCGAAGGCAGCUCGCUGGGACGGUACUGACGCUGAGACGCGAAAGCGUGGGGAGCAAACAGG